CGGUCGCUCCGGCGGGGCUUUUUCAUGCGCCGGCUUCGGACCGGCGGCACCGGUGCAAGCCUGCCGCGUUCGGC
rnacentral:tRNA from 1 species